AAAAAUGGAAUAUCUCCAUUUUUAUGCUAUGACGGCUUAAGGGCAGAAGAGUAAAAGCGUAAACCGACCUUGGAGCUAGUAUAUAAGGAGUCCUAGGCGAGGAGCAAGAGAGGGAACUUUUUAGAUUCGGAAUUCUCUGCACUUAGAAACUUCAGGCUUAUUCUCGACAAGUUCGGUUUCUAUGACUGGCACUCAAUUACUAGACGAACUCGCCCAGGCAGUUCGAUCUCUUGUCCAGCUCUAUCAAUUGAACUACGUUCGGCUUGAUCCUCGAAAGGGGUACGUAGGCAGCCUUUAACAAGGUUCAGUCCGAAAUCAAUCCAAGCCUUUUAGAUAUCUUUUUCGUCCUUUGUUAUCGAG
rnacentral:lncRNA from 1 species